ACGUAGGGGGCGAGCGUUGUCCGGAAUUACUGGGCGUAAAGGGCACGCAGGCUGUGUAUCAAGUCAGCUGUAAAAGGAUGCGGCUUAACCGUGUUAUGCAGUUGAGACUGAUGUACUGGAGUAUCGAAGAGGCAAGUGGAAUUCCCAGUGUAGCGGUGGAAUGCGUAGAUAUUGGGAAGAACAUCGGUGGCGAAGGCGACUUGCUGGUCGGUAACUGACGCUGAGGUGCGAAAGCUAGGGGAGCAAACGG
rnacentral:rRNA from 1 species